UGGGGAAUAUUGGACAAUGGGCGAAAGCCUGAUCCAGCCAUGCCGCGUGUGUGAAGAAGGUCUUCGGAUUGUAAAGCACUUUAAGUUGGGAGGAAGGGCAGUAAGCUAAUACCUUGCUGUUUUGACGUUACAGACAGAAUAAGCACCGGCUAACUCUGUGCCAGCAGCCGCGGUAAUACAGAGGGUGCAAGCGUUAAUCGGAAUUACUGGGCGUAAAGCGCGCGUAGGUGGUUUGUUAAGUUGGAUGUGAAAGCCCCGGGCUCAACCUGGGAACUGCAUCCAAAACUGGCAAGCUAGAGUACGGAAGAGGGUGGUGGAAUUUCCUGUGUAGCGGUGAAAUGCGUAGAUAUAGGAAGGAACACCAGUGGCGAAGGCGACCACCUGGACUGAUACUGACACUGAGGUGCGAAAGCGUGGGGAGCAAACA
rnacentral:rRNA from 1 species